GCAAGAAAAAUUGGAAAAGGUGUUUGUGAUAUUUGUUUCUCCCUAGCCAUACAUGUACCCAAGCCCCAAAAGUCUUCUUACUUUUCUGAUUUUCUUGGCUACUUCUGAAGUCCAGCAGCUGCUUUUCUUCUUUCUCUAUUUCCCCUUUCUUUGUUCUUCUUUCUUCUUCCUUCCUUACACGACAACAUCUCUCCCUCCCUUUCUCACCAAAAAAAUUCUAGUUUCUUUGAAGAAGAAAUUAGACAAUUAACCCUAAGAUUUUAUCUUCAAAGUGUGUGGGUGGCGAGAACGAGAACACGGAUACUUGAGCUCCCCGCGUACAAUCUCUCGCGCCUUCUGUUUUCAGGUAAGGGACUUGUGACGUGUGCUUUUAAUAAGUAUAAAGUUUAUUUCGAAAACUAAUAUGCAUUAAAACUUUUUGAUUUGAGAUAUUACAUAUAAGCAUGAUUUAAGUAAAGUAUAUGUUCGUGAGUUGUUCAAAUCUUAUGUACAGGAUAAUUUUUGCAUGUUAAUGCUAGUACCUAUGUCACGAACAUAAUAUUUUAGAAUGAAGUGGAUAUGCUAUUAUUAUGAAAUAAUUAUGUAAAAGUAUAGCUAUCAGAAAAAUAUAGCGUUCGGGUUAUUCCACUGUUAUGUUCUGAACUCAACUAAUAGGGGUUAAUUAUUGGCUUUCCAUGGAAAAAUGUUAUCUGUUUGGCCAUUUAAAGUAGAGGAAAUGGGGUUGCCCGUAACUCUAGGCCAUUUAAAGUAGAGGAAAUGGGGUUGCCCGUAACUCUAAUAUGAAUAAGGCCUUCUCCCCAAUGUGUACGGACGGCGGGGAGGAAUAAAACCUUGAGGAGAUGUGCCAUCAGGCCUCUCAAAGAGGACAAUAUCAUGCACACGAGGUUACCCAAACGUGAUGAGACCUUCUCCGUACAGGCUUAUCAAAGGUGGACUAACCAAUAUGUUAUGAAUAGCUAUAUUAUGUUAUUGAGCAUGCGAGAAUGAUUUUGUUUAAAUGCAUUAUGAAAAUUAAAAGCUCUCAUGAAAAGAAAUUUAUGAUGAAACAUUUUAUAGUCUUUGUUUUAAAGAUAAGGUUACGAAAUUAUACGUAUGUUCCUUAUUAUGUCCUUUUGUUUUUUAUAUGAAAGGAAAAUGAAAUAUUUUUAUUUGAAAAGUUCAUGAGUUAUUUAAGAGCAAUAUGAAUAGUAUGAAGGCUAUUUGAUCAAAGUUGGCAUAUCCAUAAACUAUUUGUUUUACAUGCAUUCUUAUUAAAGGCCCAUGAAGCUUUAAAACCUUACUGGGCUUCGCAGCUCACC